ACAGGAAGAUCCGGCCCUAGCCGUGGGCAGCACUGUUAAAUGAACUGGGGUCCCAGAACAGAGAGGAGAAAGUGAGCUGAGCCCACCGUUCAUCUCGCUUUGCAUCAUGGGCCUCUGCUCAAGCUCCUACCACGGAGCUUUCCCCAGCGUGAGGGACUGAAUGCCUAACUCACCAUCCUCCUCUAGGUCCCUCGAAGCACACAGCAUCCCGAGUGAUGCCCACAGCAUCCCGAGUGACUCGCGCAGUCCCAAAGACAGCGUUGACCCACUGAGUCUUUAAGUAUCUGCUCUAUCAAACCAGCCCCUCACGGACCCUGGACACCUGACAUCCAGCAAGCAUUGGGGACCACUCCGUAAACAGCAUCCUAACUAGUCACCUGACUCAUUCUCUAUUCUGCAAACCUGGGAAUCUGAGGGCGGCAGCAUUCACACACAGUGAGAGCCUGGGCUCUGCUCUCAGGACCUGCAAGUCUCAGGUGCCUUCACCUCCACUACAUCUGCACUGCCCUCGCUGCAGUGAGUAGACCAGACCCGCUUCUGCCCCGCCCACUCGGAUCUCUGCGGGCUACGCCCCCGCUGUUCUCUUCCUUCCCCUCUGUCCCUCCAUCCUCUCUUCACCUUCUGGCAUUUUCCACUCUGACACUGACCUUUGCGUUGACACAGUCAGUCAAUAUGUGAAACCCUUGCUUUUCUCAACCUAAAAUAAAUCCAUAAUUAAUUCAUUAA
ensembl:antisense Gm43455 predicted gene 43455